UACGUAGGCAGCAAGCGUUGUUCGGAAUUACUGGGCGUAAAGCGUGUGUAGGUGGUGUCGUAAGUUUGGUGUGAAAUCUCCCGGCUUAACUGGGAGGGUGCGUCGAAGACUGCGAUGCUUGAGUAUGGGAGAGGAAAGCGGAAUUCCUGGUGUAGCGGUGAAAUGCGUAGAUAUCAGGAGGAACACCUGCGGCGUAGGCGGCUUUCUGGACCAUUACUGACACUGAGGCACGAAAGCGUGGGUAGCAAACAGG
rnacentral:rRNA from 1 species